rnacentral:rRNA from 1 species
UUUCCCUACGGGGGGCAGCAGUGGGGAAUAUUGCACAAUGGGGGAAACCCUGAUGCAGCGACACCGCGUGAGCGAUGAAGUAUUUCGGUAUGUAAAGCUCUAUCAGCAGGGAAGAAGAUGACGGUACCUGACUAAGAAGCCCCGGCUAACUACGUGCCAGCAGCCGCGGUAAUACGUAGGGGGCAAGCGUUAUCCGGAUUUACUGGGUGUAAAGGGAGCGUAGACGGCGGCGCAAGCCAGAUGUGAAAGCCCGGGGAUCAACUCCGGGACUGCAUUUGGAACUGUGUGGCUGGAGUGUCGGAGAG